UACGUAGGUGGCAAGCGUUGUCCGGAUUUACUGGGCGUAAAGCGAACGCAGGCGGACUUUUAAGUAGGAAGUGAAAGGUUGGAGCUCAACUCCGACACUGCUCCCUAUACUGGAAGUCUUGAGUGUUGGAGAGGAAAGCGGAACGACACGUGUAGCGGUGAAAUGCGUUGAUAUGUGUCGGAACACCGAUGGCGAAAGCAGCUUUCUGGACAAAUACUGACGCUGAGGUUCGAAAGCCAAGGGAGCGAACAGG
rnacentral:rRNA from 1 species